UACGUAGGUGGCAAGCGUUGUCCGGAUUUACUGGGCGUAAAGAGCGCGCAGGCGGUCGUAUUAGUCGCGUGUGAAAGCCCCCGGCUCAACUGGGGAGGGUCACGCGAUACUGUUCGACUCGAAGGCAGGAGAGGGAAGUGGAAUUCCCGGUGUAGUGGUGAAAUGCGUAGAUAUCGGGAGGAACACCAGUGGCGAAGGCGACUUCCUGGCCUGUUCUUGACGCUGAGGCGCGAAAGCUAGGGUAGCAAACGGG
rnacentral:rRNA from 1 species